UACGGAGGGUGCAAGCGUUGUCCGGAUUCACUGGGUUUAAAGGGCGCGUAGGUGGGCGGGUAAGUCUGUGGUGAAAUCUCCGGGCUUAACCCGGAAACUGCCGUUGAUACUAUCUGUCUUGAAUGUAGUGGAGGUGAGCGGAAUAUGUCAUGUAGCGGUGAAAUGCGUAGAUAUGACAUAGAACAUCGAUUGCGAAGGCAGCUCGCUACACUAGUAUUGACACUGAGGCACGAAAGCGUGGGGAUCAAACAGG
rnacentral:rRNA from 1 species